rnacentral:lncRNA from 1 species
GAAGCUGGAGAACCCUGAGUGGAGACUUGGAAGACAAGUUGGAGGUCUCCAGAGUGGAAGGGCUUGCAGGCAGGGCAGGAUAAAGCCAAGUCUGGGGGAAAGUCAGCAUGUGGAAAAGUGCAGCAGAAAAGGAAAGAGCUAGAAGACAGAGGCAGCUCCCAGCGCUGCCAUGACCUGCUGGGCUCUGAGCGCCAGCCUGCUGUGGCUAACAGUGGCUCCCUACUGCCAUGUGAAAGGCACAUCUCCAUCAGCUGUGGUAAAUUGCCACUUGCAAGAGCCUCGGGUGCCAAUGCAGUUCCUGGAAAUGAGGGAUAAGAUUGAGCACAGAAGACUCAAAAAUAACCGGGCGCUCCUCAGAGGGAUCUGUGUCUUGGCAAGGAGGAAAAUCACCCCAAUGCUGCCUGUGAUUCCAGACCCAGGGCUAGUCAGUGGGACCCAAGACUGUGAACUCUGCUCACACUGCAGAAGAUGCGGAGCAAGGGGCCUGGGUUUCUAGUCACCAUGCUAUCCAAGAGCUGCUCUGUAGACGUUUCAGGCCAUUAGUACAAAAAUAAAUAAAUAAUGCAGGA